rfam:Salmo salar isolate Sally breed double haploid chromosome ssa23, whole genome shotgun sequence.
UGGCUCAGUUGGUAGAGCAUGGUGUUUGCAAUGUGUUUGCAAUGCCAGGGUUGUGGGUUCGAUUCCCAC